rnacentral:rRNA from 1 species
UUCUAACCGUAAACGAUGCCAACCAGCGAUCCGUGGGAGUUAAACCUAUGACUCCACGGGCAGCUUCCGGGAAACCAAAGUCUUUGGGUUCCGGGGGAAGUAUGGUUGCAAAGCUGAAACUUAAAGGAAUUGACGGAAGGGCACCACCAGGAGUGGAGCCUGCGGCUUAAUUUGACUCAACGCGGGGAAACUCACCCGGCCCGGACACCGUAAGGAUUGACAGAUUGAGAGCUCUUUCUUGAUUCGGUGGGUGGUGGUGCAUGGCCGUUCUUAGUUGGUGGAGCGAUUUGUCUGGUUAAUUCCGAUAACGAACGAGACUCUAGCCUACUAAAUAGUCGGUAGAUCAUUAGUCUACUGUACUUCUUAGAGGGACAGAAGGCUUCUAGCCUUACGAGAUUGAGCAAUAACAGGUCUGUGAUGCCCUUAGAUGUCCGGGGCUGCACGCGCGCUACACUGAAAGAAUCAACGUGUCUGCUUCCUGCUUCGAAAGGAGUGGGUAACCCGUUGAAACUCUUUCGUGAUUGGGAUAGGGGCUUGUAAUUAUUCCCCUUGAACGAGGAAUUCCUAGUAAGCGCGGGUCAACAUCUCGUGUUG